rnacentral:lncRNA from 1 species
GCAGAAGUGAAGAAGGCAUUAGUCAGAUUUUGGAGGCAUCAUAUGGAGAGACAGAUUCAUAUGGGCUGUUUGGACAUGGUCAUCUAGCCCAUUUUCCUGAUUCUUUGCCCUGCCAAUCAAGAGUAUCCUCAGCCGGAUGUGGUGGCUCACACCUGUAAUUCUAGCACUUUGGGAGGCCAAAGCGGGCGGAUCACCUGAGAUCAGGAGUUUGAGACUAGCAUGGUCAACAUGGUGAAACCCUGUCUCUACUAAAAAUACAAAAAUUAGCUGGGUGUGGUAUCACAUGCUUAUAGUCCCAGCUGAGGCAGAAGAAUUGCAUGAGCCGGGGAGGUGAAGGUUGCAGUGAGCCAAGAUCAUGCCACUGCACUCCACCCUGGGUGACAAGAGUACAGAAUGAGACCCUGUCUCAAAAAUAAAAAAAAAAAAGUAUUCUGUAAUCCACCACCAGCCACUUCACCUCCAUGUUCUCAAAGUUAUAGAUUUCCAUAGACGUUCUUAUAAGCUUCAUAUCCAAGAUUCAGCUGCCAUUUGGAUAUCCCUGAAAGCCCUAAUGUAUCUGCCAAGUAAUCAGUUUAUAUUGUCAUUGUUGGGAAUAGUCUGAUGAUCUGACUUGGUUCCUGUAUGGUCCAGUUUGUACAUAAACAUUUUUGUCCAUAGGGAUAGUGAGUUACUGAUGCAGGUUGAGAUCUACAAUGGCACUAUCCAAAAACAAAACCAAAAACACUACAUGAAGCUUGUUCCUCUGCCGCAUUAUGCAGAGAUGGGUCUCACCCCAUUCUUUCAUGUGAGAAUAAGCACCUUAUUCAUUACAGAAACAUUGUGGGUGUGUCCUGUUAUAGCUGAAUGUAGUCCCUCAGUUUAUUUUGAAUUAUGUUUGAUUAUAUGUGAUUACAAACAAUGUACAUGUCUUCCUCAAACAAAAGUUCUCACACAUUUCUUAGAAAUGUUAACAGUGUGCAAACAACUUGCUUACUGUCUAGUGAGUUUUGUAUUUAUUGAGAAUAUAUAUUAAAAUACCCAUUCCAAUCAUGGAUCAGAUAAACUUUAUAAUUAAGCUCUUUGUCCAACAUUGUGAGUCAACAUUACUGUGAGCUUACAACUUCAGGCCUCUUUCUCAUAAAUUUUAGUUUUCAUGCUUAUUCGAUUACAACUUUUAUGAUGAUAGUAGUUUUUCAUAUGCAUAAUACCAAAAGUCAAAUCAUGUUGUGAGUG